GGGGAAUGGGUCUGCUUGGGGUGGACGCCGCACUUGCAAUGCGGAGAUCAGAUCGGUUCAAAUCCGAUACUCUCCA
rnacentral:tRNA from 1 species